AAAACUUUUAACAACGGAUCUCUUGGUUCUGGCAUCGAUGAAGAACGCAGCGAAAUGCGAUAAGUAAUGUGAAUUGCAGAAUUCAGUGAAUCAUCGAAUCUUUGAACGCACAUUGCGCCCCCUGGUAUUCCGGGGGGCAUGCCUGUUCGAGCGUCAUUUCACCACUCAAGCC
rnacentral:rRNA from 1 species